CAGCUACUUAAUGUAAUUCAAACACACUGUAGCUAUAUUUGGCAGAUGGUCAACUUCUCCAGGGAGCUUGGGCCAUGGACACCAUGAGGCCAAUUCAACAAGCAUUUCUCGAGGGUGUGCCAUAUGUGUGGCACUGCCUUUGGUUAGUGAAGAUGGGAAAGGGCUGAGCCACUCUUCAGUAGUCAGAAUGUGAAGGGAGUGACGUACAAAACUCUAACAAGAGGCAGACUUAUAUUCUCUGUGUGCAUAGUACAAUUUUCUGGAUGUGUGUUGUUUUCUGGUUAACUUGGUUAUUAAAUGAGCUACUCAAAGCAAUUGGGUAACUUUUUUUUUUUCCAAAAAAAAAAAAGAAAGAAAGAAAAAAUAUAUACUGUACUGUGAUUAGCAAGACAAAGAAGGUGAUUUUGGAAGAAGUGCUAGAAUUCAGUUGAUUUUGAGUAACAUUUGUUAAAUGAAUGAUGUUUGACAGGGCCUGUGUUAAGGAUUGAAGGUACAAAGAUAAAUAAGACAUAGUUUUAGCCUCAGGGAGCUCAGAGUCUAGUGGGGAAGACAACCUUGGCAGCAGAUAAUUACAGCCCAUGAGAAUAUAUUCUGCAAUUGGCCAUCACUGAAUGCUAAGGAAACAUAAAAGUGGGGGCCUAAACACA
rnacentral:lncRNA from 1 species